AUUGAACGCUGGCGGCAGGCCUAACAAAUGCAAGUCGAACGAGUGGCGGACGGGUGAGUAAUGUCUGGGAAACUGCCCGAUGGAGGGGGAUAACUACUGGAAACGGUAGCUAAUACCGCAUACCAUCGGAUGUGCCCAGAUGGGAUUAGCUAGUAGGUGGGGUAACGGCUCACCUGGGCGACGAUCCCUAGCUGGGCUGAGAGGAUGACCAGCCACACUGGAACUGAGACACGGUCCAGACGCCUACGGGAGGCAGCAUUGGGGAACAUUGCACAAUGGGCGCAAGCCUGAUGCAUCCCUGCCGCGUGUAUGAAGAAGGCUUUCGGGUUUUAAAGUACUUUCAGCGAUGAGGCGUUACUCGCAGAAGAAGCACCGGCUAACUCCGUGCCAGCAGCCGCGGUAAUUC
rnacentral:rRNA from 1 species